AUUGAACGCUGGCGGCAGGCCUAACACAUGCGAGUCGAGCGGAUGAAGGGAGCUUGCUCCUGGAUUCAGCGGCGGACGGGUGAGUGAUGCCUAGGAAUCUGCCUGGUAGUGGGGGAUAACGUCCGGAAACGGGCGCUAAUACCGCAUACGUCCUGAGGGAGAAAGGGGGGGAUCUUCGGACCUCACGCUAUCAGAUGAGCCUAGGUCGGAUUAGCUAGUUGGUGGGGUAAAGGCCUACCAAGGCGACGAUCCGUAACUGGUCUGAGAGGAUGAUCAGUCACACUGGAACUGAGACACGGUCCAGACUCCUACGGGAGGCAGCAGUGGGGAAUAUUGGACAAUGGGCGAAAGCCUGAUCCAGCCAUGCCGCGUGUGUGAAGAAGGUCUUCGGAUUGUAAAGCACUUUUAGUUGGGAGGAAGGGCAGUAAGUUAAUACCUUGCUGUUUUGACGGUACCAACAGAAUAAGCACCGGCUAACUUCGUG
rnacentral:rRNA from 1 species